CCAACCGGCCUCGCCGGAGACUGCGAGGUCGCGCGAGAUGGCCUCAGGUAGCUCGGCCGGCCGCGGCCCCUACGACGAGGAGGCCGCCGUCCGCCACCCCCUCGAGCUCGACGACCGUGGCGCCGCCUCUGCCUCCUCGUCCUCCGAGCACCGGCCUGGGUUUCUGGUCGCUGUGAUGCCCAAUGUGUUGCAAGGGGCACAACUAUAAAAUGUGCUGGAAAGUGAAGGCCAGUUUGUGGUUGCUGUAUUACACUAUGGAGUCUAAUUGGUUUGGGAAAUUUUUACUCAUGUUUGUAGGAGCUGUUAGCCUACGUUUUCAGGCUAUGUUGUUUUGUUUAAAUGGCUGGCCGUAUGCGUUUGUUCCACCCCCCGAAUCAGGAUCAUCUCAAAUGCUCAUUCCUGUCAUGGUACCUAUUGUAGGAAAUGCCAUCCCUAGAUAUCAAGCAGGCUCAGCGAAGGGUGAUACAAGUAAUAGAUACUCUGAGGAGUGGCAGCAGCCCAGUACAGAUGAUGUGGGCAAGAGUAAGCCCGGGUCGAGAUACUUCACGGCAUUUGGGGUGGAUCUGUCCCCUGAUAAUAUGGCCGUUGCCAUUGUAUAUUUUGUGCAAGGGGUUUUAGGUCUCGCCCGACUUGCUGUGAGUUUUUACUUAAAAGAUGAUCUUCGUCUCGAUCCAGCUGAGACUGCAGUUAUAUCUGGUUUCUCAUCCUUGCCAUGGUUGAUCAAGCCCCUCUAUGGAUUUAUCAGUGAUUCCAUUCCACUCUUUGGAUAUCGACGAAGGUCAUACCUUAUUCUGUCAGGGUUCCUUGGAGCACUUUCAUGGAGUCUGAUGUCCACAGUAGUGAACAGUAAAUAUGGUGUGGCAUUCUCUAUUCUUCUUGGGUCACUUUCUGUUGCCUUCUCUGAUGUUGUGGUGGAUUCUAUGGUUGUUGAGAGAGCUCGUGGCGAAUCGCAAAGUACAUCUGGAUCUCUCCAGUCACUGUGUUGGGGAUCUUCUGCCUUUGGAGGAAUUGUGAGUGCGUACUUCAGCGGUUCACUUGUGGAAAUUUAUGGAGUAAGAUUUGUGUUUGGUGUUACAGCAUUCUUACCCCUGAUGACAUCUGCUGUUGCAGUACUUGUAAAUGAACAGAGUAUACCUUCUGGAGAACAUAAUAACUUACUCUCUGGUUUAGGAUUCGUUGAGAACUCUAAGCAGCACAUUAGGCAGCUUUGGACUUCAGUAAAGCAACCUAACAUUUUCUUGCCCACAUUGUUUAUAUUCCUCUGGCAAGCAACACCUCAGUCAGACUCCGCUAUGUUUUUCUUCAUCACAAAUAAGCUUGGAUUUACUCCAGAAUUUCUAGGGCGUGUAAAGCUUGUUACCUCUAUUGCAUCCCUCCUCGGUGUUGGGCUCUACAAUUAUUUUCUGAAGGAAGUUCCCCUAAGGAAAAUAUUUCUCGUGACAACCAUCAUAGGCUCAGCCCUUGGAAUGACACAGGUUCUUCUUGUAACUGGGCUUAAUCGCCAGUUUGGGAUCAGUGAUGAGUGGUUCUCCGUUGGUGAUUCAUUAAUCAUCACAGUCCUUGGUCAAGCUUCAUUUAUGCCGGUCUUGGUGUUAGCUGCCAAAUUGUGUCCCCCAGGAAUGGAAGCGACUCUGUUUGCAACUCUGAUGUCUAUUUCUAAUGCUGGAAGUGUUACUGGUGGCCUGAUUGGUGCUGGUCUAACUCGGGUUUUUGGGGUCACUAGGGACACCUUUGGGAAUCUACCUCUCUUGAUUGUCGUCUGCAAUCUUAGUUCACUGCUGCCCCUACCUCUGUUAGGUCUCCUUCCAGAGGAAUCAGGCGAUACAGAUAACAAACAAACAAAGCAUAAGUGAUUGAGGUUUUGUCUCCAUAUGUUCUGGCUUCCAAGUAUUGCAUUUGCAUACUGCAGACCCCAGCUCAUGAUAUGGCCCAUCCAGUAGGAGUCAAGCAGAUCAGCUGGGAAACACAGGACAGGCUGCAUAUAAUUUCAGUUGGUCACUGUUGUCAUCACUCAAUUCAAUCUACUAUGACCAUUUACUUGUGUGAUGGAAAAGUGAUUCAUGAUCAUCUGAAAAUGAACUAUGCUACAGCAUACAGAUCGGUUCAAAACCAGGUAUAAAUCGCAAGGUACGUCUGAAUAUUCGGUCUGAGUUGCUCUUGUAGACCUGACUCGUCAGAAGGGUCCAUGUCGGCAUAUCCAUCGUGUCAGCAUUCCAGUGUUUGUUUCCGUAUUUUAAGUGCUCAUCUAAUCAGCAUAGUUGGAUUAUUCUGUCACAUGAAGCAUUCUGACCGACUUCUACUUUCAUCGCAUUUGUGGGGUCAACUGUGAACUGCAUCGUUGUUUUUCUGAUAAAAAGGCAGGAGAUCGUAUUCGGAUCCGAUUUCUGGGAUCAGAUCCAGCCUUUCUGACCUCCGGUUCCAUUCACAAGCAUCUUGAGAUGCUUCAUAUGAUUGUAAUAGUCUAGACUCUCAUCAUGAACGAAAUUACGAAUUUGAGUACAAAUUGUAGUUGUACUUGCAGUA